rnacentral:tRNA from 1 species
GCCGAGCUGGUCCAACGGCAGGACAGCCGGCUCUGAACCGGUAGGUCGGGGUUCGACUCCCUGGCUCGGCG